rnacentral:rRNA from 1 species
ACGGCUCAGUAACACGUGGAUAACCUGCCCUAGGGAAGGGGAUAACCCCGGGAAACUGGGGAUAAUACCCUAUAGAUUACAGAUGCUGGAAUGCCCUGUAAUCCAAAGUUCCGACGCCCUAGGAUGGAUCUGCGGCCGAUUAGGUUGUUGUUGGGGUAAUGGCCCAACAAGCCCGUAAUCGGUACGGGUUGUGGGAGCAAGAGCCCGGAGUUGGAUUCUGAGACACGAAUCCAGGCCCUACGGGGCGCAGCAGGCGCGAAAACUUUACAAUGCGGGCAACCGUGAUAAGGGAACCUCGAGUGCCUGUAAAUGCAGGCUGUUCAGGUGCCUAAAACACACCUGAAGAAAGGGCCGGGCAAGACCGGUGCCAGCAGCCGCGGUAAUAC